rnacentral:rRNA from 1 species
ACGGGUGAGUAACACAUGGCUGACCUGCCCCUCAGAGGGGGACAACCGCUGGAAACGGUGGCUAAUACCCCAUACGCUCGCCCGGGUUAGAGGCCGGGUGGGGAAAGGCGAUUAGUGCUGAGGGAGGGGGCUGUGGCCCAUCAGCUAGUUGGUAGGGUAACGGCCUACCAAGGCGAGGACGGGUAGGGGACCUGAGAGGGUGACCCCCCACACGGGCACUGAGAGACGGGCCCGACACCUACGGGAGGCAGCAGUAAGGGAUAUUGCGCCAAUGGGCNAAAGCCUGACGCANCAACGCCGCGUGCGGGAGGACGGCCUUCGGGUUGUAAACCGCUUUUCCGGGGGAANAGGGAGGACGGUACCCUGGGAAUAANUCUCGGCUAACUACGUGCCACCAGNCCGCGGUAAAACNUANGANGCGAGCCUUAUCCGGAUUUACUGGGUGU